rnacentral:rRNA from 1 species
UACAGGGGGGGCAAGCGUUGUUCGGAAUUACUGGGCGUAAAGGGUUUGUAGGUGGCUUGUUAAGUCAGACGUGAAAUCCCUCAGCUUAACUGGGGAACUGCGUCUGAUACUGGCGGGCUUGAGUGCAGGAGAGGAACGCGGAAUUCCAGGUGUAGCGGUGAAAUUCGUAGAUAUCAGGAGGAACACCGGUGGCGAAGGCGGCCACCUGGACGACAACUGACGCUGAGACGCGAAAGCGUGGGGAGCAAACAGG